AACCAACUGAAUACACAUUUGGCGCUUUCUGCUCAAUGAUUAGAUUAAAUAGCCGCAGUACUCUGACUGUGCAAAGGUAGCAUAAUCAUUUGUCUUUUAAUUGAAGUCUAGUAUGAAUGAAUAUAUGGAAAAAUGCUGUCUCUAUUACACUUGAUGAAUUUACCUAGUAAGUGCAAAGGCUUACACUUAAAUAAUAGACGAUAAGACCCUAGAAAUUUGUAAAAUUGUUUUGUUGGGGCAACAUGGUAACAUAUAAUUUACCAAAUAUAAUUAGGUGUUUUUGAAAUAAAUAAAAAAAUUACUCUAGGGAUAACAGCAUAAUGUAAUAACGUUUGUGACCUCGAUGUUGGAUUAGGGAAAUUAAGUUUAGCCGAUUAAAAUUUUGCUCUGUUCGAGCAGUUAUCCCCUACGUGAUCUGAG
rnacentral:rRNA from 1 species